CACGUAGGGGGCGAGCGUUGUCCGGAUUUAUUGGGCGUAAAGAGCUCGUAGGCGGUUCGGCAAGUCGGGUGUGAAAUUUCGAGGCUCAACCUCGAAACGCCACUCGAUACUGCUGUGACUGGAGUCCGGUAGAGGAGUGCGGAAUUCCUGGUGUAGCGGUGAAAUGCGCAGAUAUCAGGAGGAACACCGAUGGCGAAGGCAGGUCUCUGGGCCAUAACUGACGCUGAGAAGCGAAAGCAUGGGGAGCGAACAGG
rnacentral:rRNA from 1 species